rnacentral:misc_RNA from 1 species
AAAGAUACAGUGCACUCUCCACGAGUUCCACUUAUUCAAACCCAUUCCGAGUACCUUACCCGUUGCUUCCGCAAGUCAGUGACUCCGGUCACCUCCAAAGAUGGCGUCAGUCAUCCAAGGGGAGUACUUGCGGAAGGUAUACAAUAAACUCUUGCAUUACCAUGUCAUCUGUCUGAUUAUGUUUAUAACAAAUAUUA